AGACACGGUAGGAGGGGAAAAGUUCGGGAUGGAGGAUAAGGUCCUUCAAACCUUCCAACAGAACAAGUGAACGUAAAACUUGUUUUCGUUCACGAUUGUGAUCGACGAAAGCUAACGGCGUUCUUGUCGGCGUAAACGUACGAACAAAGAAUCAUGCCUUCCUUCACAAGUGCGAAGCGUAAUGUUUCUCUUCAGAACGAUCUCUUGCAGCGGAAACAUGGGCCUCGAAAUUCGAACUCUGUUUCCAUCUGAGCCAAUGCCUUUGUCAGUGAGAGCAGAACAAUGUUGGUCUAGGGAAAACAACCUGCUAGAAUCACGCAGGUUGAUGAAAUUUAGGAGUCAUGGUGUGCUCUGCGCGGCAAACACUUGGGGAAGUUCUGGGAAUAGGAUUUUGCGAAGGCUUUCGGAUUUUUCAAGCGUGGUGGUUUCCUUGGGCAAUUGUUCUUUAGAUAAGCGACGGAUUAGGUUGGACCGCAGGAAUGCCCAUCAGACUCGUAGGCAUGAUUUCACUGUUUUUGCGAUGCCUUUCUCCGGUGACUCAGAUGAUGAACCACAAACGUCUCCCGAAAUCACACCUAUGUCAUCAAAAUACCCUUGUAUGUAUGUCAAGAGCGCGGUCUCUUCCGGCGAGACCAUUGAGUAUCCAGGAACCAUCGUUAUUCUUGGCGAUGUGCAUGAAGGAGGAGCCAUUGUGGCAGGUGGUGACAUUGUGGUAGUAGGCCGGCUCCGCGGGUCUGUUCACGGCGGUCGGAACGGUGACAGGGGGGCUGUUGUCUACGCUACGCAGCUGGAUGCUUGCCACAUUCGUAUUGCUGAUGCAACCUUUGUUACCGAGUCGCAUUUUUCUGACCGUCCUGCAAUUGCCUCGAUUCAAGAAGACGGCAAACUGGACAUCCGUGCAGCAGUUCGAAAGUUCGAAGACAGCAAGUCCCCCAGUAAUUCCUGCACAUUAAAUUCUGCAGUGGUGAAACAGUCACUGCAGACGUCCAAAGGCUCCGAAAGCAAGGAUUUGAAGUUUUCAAGGCGACCAGCACAGCUCGCACUGUUCACCGGCGUAUACAUUAGUGUGGUUGGUAUGGCAUUGCUCGCAUUUCCAACAUUUCUCUUUGGGGCUUUGUUUGACGUGCGCAGCGUUACUGUGGGGUGGAUACGAGUUGGAGCGAUCCUGGCAGUGGUCUUUGGAGUAUACUACAUCGGAACAGCUAUUGGUGAUCUGAGAGGAAGGUCAGGCGCUCGGGCAUUCUACACGUCUACCGUCGUAGGCCGUGUGUUCCUAUUUUUUGGAUUUUGUUGGCUUGUGGCUGUUGGUGCGGCUCAACCUGCUCUCGUCAUGGUGGGUACCGUUAAUAUGUUGGGGGCCAUGUCCAUGCUAUUUGCCUUGCGGCAAGCUCCUGAAGCAAGCGUCCCCAACACUUGAAUAAUGAGUAUUUAGCAGCAACGUGCCGCUUUUGCGUUACUGCAUUGUCAUUUAGUCCAAUAUAUCUGGAAUGGGUGGAAUUGUAUAUAACAUGGUCUGCAGAAAGCAAACAGGAAGACGUGCCAGCUAGACUCCCAUGAAUUUCGGCUAUUUCCUGUUUCAAGCCCAACCAAGAUUGAAGAAACGUGGAAAACAUGAACGAGAAUGGGCGAGUUCUGUAAUGGCACAAUUAAGCCCAGGCCACACCAUUUAUUCUUCGGCAACAAGGGAUACCCUCUACUCGUACUUUAAUCACUUCCAAGUUUUCGAGGACCCCACAGCAAAGUUAAACCAAGCAUUUCUUGAACAUCAAGCACUGACAUCAUGCCCUCCCCCUCAAUCAUAUCACAACUCACUCUGUUCACCAUUUUCACAUUCCUGAUUCAGUCCCAAUCAAGAAUCCGUGUCACUCGACGCGCAUUCUUGAAGCUGAUGUCAGAUGUAGUGAAGUGACAAGAAUUGCCGCAUAUGCAGGAGCAACCGCUAAAACAAGACCAGCAUCGAUACCCGCAGGACGAACAAUUAAGGUGAAAUAAGAUAGAGCCCCGAGCAUUUUCUUCAAUGCAUCAACUAACCAUGUCAGACUAUUUCCACUUGAAGACGUUUUAAAGCGGAGUUUGUUAAUGCAAAAGAGCAAGAAUAGACCAGCUAUGCCAAUCUCGUCUAAGACUGAUCAAGGAGACACUUCGCAUUGCAGUGUAGUUAACGCGACUCUAAAGAUCAACCAGCAAAUCAAAGUACCGUAGCCGACAUAAGCGUCAAUAAAGAUCAUUUUGAAGUUCAAACGCGCAACACAAUUUUAAGGAAAAAAAAAAAAAAAAAAAAAAAAAAAAAA